AUGGAUGUUAAUUUUGUUGGUACGAACAAUUUUGGUAAUAACGCGUAUAGAGGAAACAACAACCCUAGGCCGUUUCCUACUAAUCCCUCUAAUAAUUAUGGUAAUUCCUACAAUAAUUAUUAUGGAAAUUAUAAUAAAAUACCCUCUGAUCUUGAGAAAAAUAUUAAAUAUUUCAUUAAUUCUCAAAAGAUUUUCAAUGCUAUGGUUGAAGAAAAAUUGCUUAAGAUUGAUGAUUUGGCUAGAAACGUUGAUAGAAUUUCCUAUGAGAUUGAUUCUUUUAAGAUUAGAUAUAUGCCACCCAAGAUUGGUAUUAACGAAUCUCUUAAAGCUAUUAAAAUUUCUAUUAAUGAAAGUAGAGAGAGAACCGCUAGGAUGUGUGCUAAGAGAGAUUGGCUAGAAAAAGCAUGCUCUUCUAGUUUUUGUGAUAAUAAUGAUGAUGAAGAUCUUAAAGUAAUUGGUGUGACUCCUAUUGAAUCUUUGUUUGCUAAUAUAAAACUUGAUAAAUAUGGGACUAGAGAAGAGUCAACUUUAGCUGAAAGGCGUCCCAAUAAUUUGGAGGGUGAAAAUCUUAAUGAAAAAAUUGAUAAAAGUGGGAUUGGCGAGGUCAAAACUUUAGGUAGCGAUGAACCCACUCUUUUGGAUUUCAAGGAUGUUAAUUAUGAUAAUUGUUCUUUGAUAGGUUGUAUUUCCUUGUUGCAAUCCAUGCCAAAUCCACCUCAUUCUUAUAAUCAAAAUAAGGCUUUUACUAAACAUAUCGUGGAUGCUAUGAUGAAAUUGUUCGAAGAAAAACUCUAG
rnacentral:rRNA from 1 species